UACGUAGGUCGCGAGCGUUGUCCGGAUUUAUUGGGCGUAAAGGGCGCGUAGGCGGCUUGCUAAGUCGGAUGUGAAAACUCUGGGCUUAACUCAGAGCCUGCAUUCGAUACUGGCAGGCUUGAGUUCUGGAGGGGAGACUGGAAUUCCUGGUGUAGCGGUGAAAUGCGCAGAUAUCAGGAGGAACACCGGUGGCGAAGGCGGGUCUCUGGGCAGAUACUGACGCUGAGGAGCGAAAGCGUGGGGAGCGAACAGG
rnacentral:rRNA from 1 species